UUCCAAAGUAUGUAAGAUUUCAUUCAUGAUCAUGAAAAAUCAUGCAUUAAGCUAAAGUCAGAUGCGAUUACAGAUCCCUUCUCAGAAUCCUAUGACAGCAUAUGACCUAGAGUUAGAAGCAUGGACCUAGAAGUUUUAAAAGUAGUAAAGUGGGGAUAGUGUUUAUUUGGAUUUAGCAGACUAUGUAUCCAUGGGGCUAGUUAUAUG
rnacentral:lncRNA from 1 species